rnacentral:rRNA from 1 species
GACGAACGCUGGCGGCGUGCUUAACACAUGCAAGUCGAACGGAAAGGCCCCUUUGGGGGUACUCGAGUGGCGAACGGGUGAGUAACACGUGAGUAACCUGCCCUUGACUUCGGGAUAACUUCAGGAAACUGGGGCUAAUACCGGAUAGGAAUCCUUGCUGCAUGGUGGGGGUUGGAAAGCUUCGGCGGUUUUGGAUGGACUCGCGGCUUAUCAGCUUGUUGGUGGGGUAGUGGCUUACCAAGGCUUUGACUGGUAGCCGGCCUGAGAGGGCGACCGGCCAACAUUGGACCGGGGUUCCGGCCAGGAUCCCACGGGGGGGAAGAGUGGGGAAUUUUGGAACAUUGGGCGGAGCCUGAAGCAGGCAACGCGGGUGCGGGAUGAAGGGCUUCGGGUUGUAAACCGGUUUCAGCAGGGGAGAAGCUUGUGGUGACGGUAACUGCAGAAGAAGCACCGGCUAACUACGUG